AUGGGCAACGGCGAUUGGGACCGAAGGGGAGUCUCUCGGUCACUGUUGCUGGGACGCGAGCCUGUGCUGGUGUCUUAG